rnacentral:rRNA from 1 species
UACGUAGGGUGCGAGCGUUGUCCGGAAUUAUUGGGCGUAAAGAGCUCGUAGGCGGUGUGUCACGUCGGCCGUGAAAACCUGCAGCUUAACUGUGGGCGUGCGGUCGAUACGGGCAUCACUGGAGUUCGGCAGGGGAGACUGGAAUUCCUGGUGUAGCGGUGAAAUGCGCAGAUAUCAGGAGGAACACCGGUGGCGAAGGCGGGUCUCUGGGCCGAUACUGACGCUGAGGAGCGAAAGCGUGGGGGAGCGAACAGG